AGAGUUUGAUCAUGGCUCAGAGCGAACGCUGGCGGCAGGCUUAACACAUGCAAGUCGAGCGGGCGUAGCAAUACGUCAGCGGCAGACGGGUGAGUAACGCGUGGGAACGUACCUUUUGGUUCGGAACAACACAGGGAAACUUGUGCUAAUACCGGAUAAGCCCUUACGGGGAAAGAUUUAUCGCCGAAAGAUCGGCCCGCGUCUGAUUAGCUAGUUGGUGAGGUAAUGGCUCACCAAGGCGACGAUCAGUAGCUGGUCUGAGAGGAUGAUCAGCCACAUUGGGACUGAGACACGGCCCAAACUCCUACGGGAGGCAGCAGUGGGGAAUAUUGGACAAUGGGCGCAAGCCUGAUCCAGCCAUGCCGCGUGAGUGAUGAAGGCCCUAGGGUUGUAAAGCUCUUUUGUGCGGGAAGAUAAUGACGGUACCGCAAGAAUAAGCCCCGGCUAACUUCGUGCCAGCAGCCGCGGUAAUACGAAGGGGGCUAGCGUUGCUCGGAAUCACUGGGCGUCAAGGGUGCGUAGGCGGGUCUUUAAGUCAGGGGUGAAAUCCUGGAGCUCAACUCCAGAACUGCCUUUGAUACUGAAGAUCUUGAGUUCGGGAGAGGUGAGUGGAACUGCGAGUGUAGAGGUGAAAUUCGUAGAUAUUCGCAAGAACACCAGUGGCGAAGGCGGCUCACUGGCCCGAUACUGGCGCUGAGGCACGAAAGCGUGGGGAGCAAACAGGAUUAGAUACCCUGGUAGUCC
rnacentral:rRNA from 1 species